GGUCUUGAGUAAUCGCGGUCGGUGCAUGCCGGCUGAGGAAAGUCCAUGCUCGCACAGGCUGUGAUGCCUGUAGUGUUCGUGCGUCGCCCAAUAAGCGGCGGUACGCUUCGGCGUAACGGCAGGACCUAAGCUAAGGGCGUAAGCCUAUCAGCGCAAGCUAAAGGUGUAAGCCUAUGCGGCGGGCCUUGAAAGUGCCACAGUGACGAUCCUGCUUGGAAACAGGCAGGUUGGAACGGGUAAACCCCGCGAGCGAGUAACCCAAACUUUUAUGGUAGGGGCGUCCCAUGAGGGAACUGAACUGGACAUGGGAGUACACUUCGGUGUACAGAUAGAUGAUUACUGAAGGAUCGGCGGCGACGUGCCGGUCUGGAACGGAACAUGGCUUAUAGAG
rnacentral:RNase_P_RNA from 2 species